UAUAGCUGGAGUAGCCUCCAGUUGAGUCCGGCUCGUUUCGCGCGCCGAACUAAUCGAAGCAAAUAUUCAGAGCAGCAGUUUAGGUCAAGUUACUAUUUUACCUCGCUUCUCUAUCAGAGGUUUAGAAUGAUAAGGCCGAGAGUGAUAAAAUUGAGGAAAAACUCGUUCGUCCUUAACGAACAAGUGAGCUCUUGAGUACGACUAAUUCAGGCUAGUGGACCGUGUGGCCAGUGAUCCUAGGUAAGACCAGGCCUGACUUCCCUCCAUCAUUUUCUGUUUUUGUGGUCUUGAAUGAUGCUUUUCCGCGUUAGACUGCUGAACAUCAGUGAUGUCACAUCAAAAUAACUGACAAGACCUCUACAUUUCAACACACAGUGAGUUUUGUAGCUGGAAAUGAUCUAUAAAAAGUUAUUUUCCUCUUGCAACAGGGAGAGAAGGUGAAUCGGAAGAGGCUGAGGUUUGUAUGUUCAGUGUAAUGGCUGUUUGUUGCAGAUGCUAUGAGUGUAACCAAAUCGAACAAUUGUUUUUACUUUUUGGAAACAAUAAACGAUUAUCUUUG